GUAAACUCUAGAUUUUAUUUUUACAGAGUCUCACUAUAUCAGCUAGGCUGGUCUCAAACUCUAGACCCUCUUAGUCUGUGCCCCUGAGUGCUGGGAGUACAGGUGUGAGCCCAUGAGUGCUGGGAGUACAGGUGUGAGCCCAUGAGUGCUGGGAGUACAGGUGUGAGCCCCUGGGUCCUGGGAGUACAGGUGUGAGCCCCUGAGUGCUAGGAUUACAGGUGUGAGCCCAUGGGUGCUGGGAUUACACGUGUGAGUCUCUGAGUGCUGGGAUUACAGGUGUGAGCCCCUGAGUGCUGGGAGUACAGGUGUGAGCUACCACAUCUGGCUUAAGUAUCUAGUUGGGUAAUCAUUUGCAAGCCAUGCCUGUCUGAUUCCUGGGAAGUGGUCUUACAUGUCUUCUAGUUAGACAGCAGAUAAAUGGGUAGGAUAGGGAAGAGAAAAAAAAUACACAGGUGGCAAACAAUUAAAAAUAAUGUGGAGCUGGUUUAAUAGUAAAGUUGAUUACUUUACUUCUCAGCACACAUAGAAAGAAGUGGGUCAUCGCCAUUACUGGUCAUUGCUUGUUUGAGCAUGCCUUCUUGAGUACUGCUAAGAACCAGGGCUGACAUGCCAGAAAUGUAGUUCUGAGAUGGUAGUCAUGGUUGAGGUUAUUCAACACUCAGGCUCAGUUCAGAUUAUAGAAGGUCUCAGGGGACCUUCCUUCCUUCCUUCCUUCCUUCCUUCCU
ensembl:lncRNA